rnacentral:rRNA from 1 species
UACAGAGGUCUCAAGCGUUGUUCGGAUUCAUUGGGCGUAAAGGGUGCGUAGGUGGCGCCGUAAGUCGGGUGUGAAAUUUCGGAGCUUAACUCCGAAACUGCAUUCGAUACUGCGGUGCUUGAGGACUGGAGAGGAGACUGGAAUUUACGGUGUAGCGGUGAAAUGCGUAGAUAUCUGGAGGAACACCGGUGGCGAAGGCGGCAUCCUGGACCAACACUGACACUGAGGAGCGAAAGCCAGGGGAGCAAACGGG